rnacentral:rRNA from 1 species
CUUUUGGAAACGCAAGUUUGCGCCCGAUGCCAUUAGGUUGAGGGCACGUCUGCCUGGGUGUCACAUAUCGAAGCCUCCUUGACUAUUCUGCAGGGUGGAUGUUGGCCUCCCAUGAGCUCUUUUGUCUCAUGGUUGGUUGAAAAUUGAGACCUUGGUAGGGUGUGCCAUGAUAGAUGGUGGUUGUGUGACCCACGAGACCAAUCAUGCGCUUCUCUAUUGAAUUCGGCCUCUUUUACCCAUAUGCGUUUUUAAACGCUCGUGAUGAGACCUCAGGUCAGGCGGGACUACCCGCUGAAUUUAAGCAUAUCAAUAAGCGGAGGAAAAGAAACUAACAAGGAUUCCCUUAGUAACGGCGAGCGAACCGGGAUAAGCCCACCAUGAGAAUCGGUCGCCCUCGGCGUUCGAAUUGUAGUUGAAAAAAACCGUCAAAAGGG